AUUGAACGCUGGCGGCAGGCCUAACACAUGCAAGUCGAACGGCAGCACAGAAGAGCUUGCUCUUUGGGUGGCGAGUGGCGGACGGGCGAGUAAUGUCUGGGAAACUGCUCGAUGGAGGGGGAUAACUACUGGAAACGGUAGCUAAUACCGCAUAACGUCGCGAGACCAAAGGGGGGGACCUUCGGGCCUCACACCAUCGGAUGGGCCCAGAUGGGAUUAGCUAGUAGGUGGGGUAAUGGCUCACCUAGGCGACGAUCCCUAGCUGGUCUGAGAGGAUGACCAGCCACACUGGAACUGAGACACGGUCCAGACUCCUACGGGAGGCAGCAGUGGGGAAUAUUGCACAAUGGGCGCAAGCCUGAUGCAGCCAUGCCGCGUGUAUGAAGAAGGCCUUCGGGUUGUAAAGUACUUUCAGCGGGGAGGAAGGCGGUGAGGUUAAUAACCUCGCCGAUUGACGUUACCCGCAGAAGAAGCACCGGCUAACUCCGUGCCAGCCGCCGCCGUAAUAC
rnacentral:rRNA from 1 species